rnacentral:rRNA from 1 species
UCCGUAGGGUGCGAGCGUUAAUCGGAAUUACUGGGCGUAAAGCGUGCGCAGGCGGUUUUGUAAGUCAGAUGUGAAAGCCCCGGGCUUAACCUGGGAAUGGCAUUUGGGACUGCAAGGCUUGAGUGCGGCAGAGGAGACUGGAAUUCCUGGUGUAGCAGUGAAAUGCGUAGAUAUCAGGAGGAAUACCGAUGGCGAAGGCAGGUCUCUGGGCUGACACUGACGCUCAUGCACGAAAGCGUGGGGAGCAAACAGG